UGAACUACAAAACCUAUUGAUUUUUAUUUGAAUUCUAAAAGCCUAAAGAUAAACUUUUUUGUAUAUCAUUUGGUUUUCAAAAAGUCUAUUUUAUUUUCUUUCCACUUUACAACACUUUCUUUUUGGUGACUUUCUUUUGUAUGCUUUGACAUUUGAUUUUUUUUCUUCGUUUCUUUUUUAUUUUUAUUUUUAUUUUUGUCAAAG
rnacentral:lncRNA from 1 species